rnacentral:misc_RNA from 1 species
GAUGAAGAACGCAGCGAAAUGCGAUACGUAAUGUGAAUUGCAAAUUCAGUGAAUCAUCGAGUCUUUGAACGCACAUUGCGCCCCCUGGUAUUCCGGGGGGCAUGCCUGUCCGAGCGUCAUUGCUGCCCUCAAGCACGGCUUGUGUGUUGGGCCCCGUCCUCCGAUCCCGGGGGACGGGCCCGAAAGGCAGCGGCGGCACCGCGUCCGGUCCUCGAGCGUAUGGGGCUUUGUCACCCGCUCUGUAGGCCCGGCCGGCGCUUGCCGAUCAACCCAAAUUUUUAUCCAGGUUGACCUCGGAUCAGGUAGGGAUACCCGCUGAACUUAAGCAUAUCAAUAAGCGGAAGA